rnacentral:lncRNA from 1 species
AGCAAGGCCGCUGACAGCGCAGCGCCCCACCCGGGCGAAGGCGCGGGGCUCAACGGAGAGGGGACGGGGCGUGGUGAGACUGUAAUGGGCAAUGAACAUGAACUAUUCAGGGGAAGAUUGUUAAAUGAAAGAAUCUCACUGGGCGGGGAGCUAAGCAUGACACCUGGCCACCUGCCUGUGCCUGUCCUGCCGAGAAGAGAGAAGAGGCCUUGAAAGCAGCCAGAGGGGGUGCACACCAGCCUGGGCAGGGGGCAGUAAGCGGGAGCAGCCCCGACCCGAGACCAGCAGCCCCUCUCUUCACCUCCAAGCCGGAGCGUGGCCUCAUCCCUCCCAGGUGACUCUCUUCCCAGAAAUGGUGCUGUCUCAAGAAGCCCCCUCUCUCCAAGCAUCUGCCAGGCCGUUUGAGCUGCCAGGAGUCUUUGUCCUGCCCCACCAGCUCUGUCUCAUCUAGAUGGGGCCUUCUGUCCAGUGCUACUGAACAGAAUGUUCUGCAUGCCUGGCCAGUGCAGAGACCUCCUUGCACCCCUGCUCCAAGGCUGGCUCUGCCACUGACAGAUAGACUGACAUUUGCACUGUUCUGAGCCCCUGGGGGUGCAGUAUGCAGAGCUAGGCCAUCUCUGUCGUCCUACAAGAACCAGGCAGCCCUGAGCAAGGCUUUUAACAUGCAAGGUGUACUCCACUAGUCUUAAGAUAUCUUGAGCCACUGUCUUGCUGCUCCCAACUCCCAAGCCACGCUGACU